rnacentral:rRNA from 1 species
AAUGAACGCUGGCGGCGUGCCUAACACAUGCAAGUCGAGCGCGAAGGGGGGCAACCCCCGGAGAGCGGCGGACGGGUGAGUAACACGUGGGUAACCUGCCUGGGAGCGGGGAAUAACCUGGGGAAACUCGGGCUAAUACCGCAUACGAACGCGGAAUCAUGGUUCCGCGUUGAAAGAUGGCCUCUGCUUGCAUGCCAUCACUCCCAGAGGGACCCGCGCCUGAUUAGCUAGUUGGUGAGGUAACGGCCCACCAAGGCGACGAUCAGUAGCCGGCCUGAGAGGGCGAUCGGCCACACUGGAACUGAGACACGGUCCAGACUCCUACGGGUGGCAG